rnacentral:rRNA from 1 species
AUAGCGUAUAUUAAAGUUGUUGCAGUUAAAAAGCUCGUAGUUGAACUUCAGGCCUGGCUGGGUGGUCUGCUUAACGGCAUGUACUGUCUGGCUGGGUCUUACCUCUUGGUGAGCCGGUGUGCCCUUUAUUGGUGUGCAUUGGGGAACCAGGACUUUUACCUUGAGAAAAUUAGAGUGUUCAAAGCAGGCUUAUGCCCGAAUACAUUAGCAUGGAAUAAUAAAAUAGGACGUGUGGUUCUAUUUUGUUGGUUUCUAGAGUCGCCGUAAUGAUUAAUAGGGAUAGUUGGGGGCAUUGGUAUUGAGUCGCUAGAGGUGAAAUUCUUGGAUUGACGCAAGACCAACUAUUG